rnacentral:rRNA from 1 species
UGAUCCUGGCUCAGGAUGAACGCUAGCUACAGGCUUAACACAUGCAAGUCGAGGGGAAACGACAUCGAAAGCUUGCUUUUGAUGGGCGUCGACCGGCGCACGGGUGAGUAACGCGUAUCCAACCUGCCCACCACUUGGGGAUAACCUUGCGAAAGUAAGACUAAUACCCAAUGAUAUCCCACGAAGACAUCUGAAUGGGAUUAAAGAUUUAUCGGUGAUGGAUGGGGAUGCGUCUGAUUAGCUUGUUGGCGGGGUAACGGCCCACCAAGGCAACGAUCAGUAGGGGUUCUGAGAGGAAGGUCCCCCACAUUGGAACUGAGACACGGUCCAAACUCCUACGGGAGGCAGCAGUGAGGAAUAUUGGUCAAUGGGCGAGAGCCUGAACCAGCCAAGUAGCGUGCAGGAUGACGGCCCUAUGGGUUGUAAACUGCUUUUAUAAGGGAAUAAAGUGAGUCUCGUGAGACUUUUUGCAUGUACCUUAUGAAUAAGGACCGGCUAAUUCCGUGCCAGCAGCCGCGGUAAUACGGAAGGUCCGGGCGUUAUCCGGAUUUAUUGGGUUUAAAGGGAGCGUAGGCCGGAGAUUAAGCGUGUUGUGAAAUGUAGACGCUCAACGUCUGCACUGCAGCGCGAACUGGUUUCCUUGAGUACGCACAAAGUGGGCGGAAUUCGUGGUGUAGCGGUGAAAUGCUUAGAUAUCACGAAGAACUCCGAUUGCGAAGGCAGCUCACUGGAGCGCAACUGACGCUGAAGCUCGAAAGUGCGGGUAUCGAACAGGAUUAGAUACCCUGGUAGUCCGCACGGUAAACGAUGGAUGCCCGCUGUUGGCCUGAAUAGGUCAGCGGCCAAGCGAAAGCAUUAAGCAUCCCACCUGGGGAGUACGCCGGCAACGGUGAAA